GUGUGUGUGUGUUUCUGGCGUUCCCUGUGUGUGUGUGUGUUGUUUUCUGGCGUUCCCUGUGUGUGUGUGUGUGUUUCUGGCGUUCCCUGUGUGUGUGUGUGUGUGUUUCUGGCUUUCCCUGUGUGUGUGUGUGUGUGUGUGUGUUUCUGGCGUUCCCUGUGUGUGUGUGUGUGUGUGUUUCUGGCGUUCCCCUUGGUGUGUAUGUGUGUUUCUGGCAUUCCCUGUGUGUGUGUGUGUUUCUGGCAUUCCCUGUGUGUGUG
ensembl:lncRNA